rnacentral:rRNA from 1 species
UACAGAGGGUGCUAGCGUUGUUCGGAAUCACUGGGCGUAAAGGGCGUGUAGGCGGGAAGGAAAGUCAGAUGUGAAAUCCCUGGGCUCAACCCAGGAACUGCAUUUGAAACUCCCUUUCUUGAGUGUCGGAGAGGAAAGUGGAAUUCCUGGUGUAGAGGUGAAAUUCGUAGAUAUCAGGAGGAACACCGGUGGCGAAGGCGGCUUUCUGGACGACAACUGACGCUGAGACGCGAAAGCGUGGGGAGCAAACAGG